rnacentral:tRNA from 1 species
UUAAAGGAUAAUAGUUAAUUAUAACAUUUAAGUUGCAUUUAAAAAUUAUUGAAUAUCUCAAUUUAUCUUUAAUAA